rnacentral:rRNA from 1 species
UUUUUGCCGAAUUCCUUUUUAUUAAUUUAAUUUUUUUUUUUAUUUUAUUUUUAAUAAAUAUACUAAUUUUAUCAUUAUUACUAAUUUUUUUUAAUUAAAAAUUAUUUUUUUUAUAAAAAAUUAAAUAAUUUAAUUUUAAAUUUUAAAAUAAAUGAAAUUAUUUAUAAAAAACUAUAAUUUAUAAAAAAUAUAAAUUUUAAAAAUUUCAAAUAUUUUUAAAAAAUUAUUAUAAAAUUUUAAUUUAAAGCUUAUCCCCUAAAAUAUUAAAUUAAAAUUUUUCCUAAUUAAAUAAAUCAAAAAAAAAAUUAAAUUUUAAUUUAAAAUUUAAUUUUUUUCUAAAAAAACUAGAUAUUUUUAAAAACGAUUAACAUUUCAUUUCUAAUUAAUUAUUAAAAAUAAUUAUGCAACAUUAACUUUAUUAAUUAAUUAACUCUUUUAAAUUCGAGAUAUUUUUAAACUAAAAAUUUUAUUUAAUAAACUCUGAUACACAAGAUACAAUAAAUUAAAUUUACUUUAUUAAAAAUUAUUUUUCAUUAUUUUUCAAAAUUCUUUUACAAUACUAAUUCUUUAUAAAUAUAAAAAUUUUUUCUAUCUAAAAUACUUUAACCCCCAUUAAAUAUUUUUUGUUUUUAAAAAUUUUUUUUUUAUUUAUAUUUUAUUAAUUUACCCCCUA